GUACACGCUGUGACUAGCAUAUCAAUAAGCGGAGGAAAAGCAACUAACAAGGAUUCCCUUAGUAACGGCGAGUGAAGCGGGAAGAGCUCAAAUUUGAAAUCUUCAAGGGUUUACCUUUACGAAUUGUAGUUUAAAGAAGUGUUUUCUGUUAGAGUUUCGGUAAAAGUUCUUUGGAAUAGGACAUCAUAGAGGGUGAGAAUCCCGUAUUUGACCGUUACUUUCUAGCUUUGUGAUACACUUUCAAAGAGUCGGAUUGUUUGGGAAUGCAGUCCAAAAUGGGUGGUAAAUUUCAUCUAAAGCUAAAUAUUGGCGAGAGACCGAUAGCGAACAAGUACCGUGAGGGAAAGAUGAAAAGAACUUUGAAAAGAGAGUUAAACAGUACGUGAAAUUGUCAGAAGGGAAGCGUUUGACACCAGUGUUGUUUUUCUGAAAAUCAAUUAAAGAACUGUUUAUGCUAAGUUGUUUAGACUUUAUCAGCUAACUGUUUAGUUUUGAGCUUUUCUUUAAUGCACUUUUCAGUUAACAAGUCAACAUCAAUUUCUUUUGCUGUAAAAAAGCUUGAGGAAGGUGGCUUGAGAUUCGUCUUAAGUGUUUAUAGCCUCUUGCCUAUGCAGUCGGAGAGAUUGAGGUCUGCAGCGUAGAUCCUUCGGGGCUAAAUGCAUUUGUGCUAAGUUAUAGCAUUUUAUAGACAACUUGUUGACUAUGAUUUGUCUUGUAGCUUACUCGCUUAUGUUAUUUUACCUACGCUUAGGAUGUUGAGCGCAUGUCUCUCUCU
rnacentral:rRNA from 1 species